CAGAGCAAAGUGAUUUCACUUUUCUGCGUACCUUUCUCGGAAAAAUUAACAUAUGUUGCUAGUUCUCGUCAGUACCAAAGAAUCCUCCCACCGCUAUCCACAAAUACUAGGGAUGAAUCAGAUUUGAAUCGGCUAAAACCGCUCUUAAUCCUGAAUCUGCACCUUCUUCGUCUUCGAUUGCUGCAAAAUUGAGGGACCGUUCAUGUAUCCUUUUUCCACUGUUCAUGUGCAAUUUUCGAUUUCUAUCGUAUCUGUGGGCACGCGCGCAUUGACAUUUGUGUGUUCGCUCUUUGCUGUAUAUCUAAAAUGCAUUUUUUCUGUUGUGCCGUUAGAUUCGAGGUGGAUGGAGGUGAUUUUAGGGGAAAAAGAUGCCGGCGAUUGGAUCUACAGAGGAGAAGGAGCUGCCAAUCUUGUUCUUGCAUACGGUGGAUCCUCGUCUGAAUUUAUCGGGAAAGUACUACGAAUACAAAAAGCUCCUUCAAAUGGAUCUCCAAGAUAUGGCUUUGAUAUUGAGGAUGGAGAUUUAGCUCUAACUGAGGAUGAGUGUCUUCUAUGGAGAGAAAUUGAAGGCCUUGCAUCAGCAGCAACAAGGGAAAUUGCAGAACACCUGUAUGUACGACAUGUGAUGAGUCCCCUGUUAGGUCGUGGGCAUGUUGAUGCUGGGAUUUUUGUAAUUGUAUCCAAGGAAUUUCUGGAGGUGGUUGAAAAGAAUGUCCUUUGUCAACGUCCUUCUUGGCGAGUUGAUGCUGCCAACGUCAAUGCCCUAUGUAAUUCUGCUCUUCUCAUGUCUGAUCAUUCAGUUUUCCCAAAAGGUAAUCUAAAAGGGAACUUCUGCAUAUCUGUUGAGAUAAAGCCAAAGUGUGGAUUUCUUCCUAUUUCAAGAUUUAUAUCUGAAGGAAAUGCUGUAAAAAAGAGUACAACUCGGUUUAAAAUGCACCAAGCACUGAAAUUGCAUCAAGGAGAGACAUCAGAACUAAGUGAAUACAAUCCACUUGAUAUGUUCUCUGGAUCCAAGGAUAGAUUACAUGAAGCAAUCAUGGCACUCUUUGCAACUCCUCAUAACAAUUUCCGUGCUUUCUUGAAUGGUUCCCUCAUAUUUGGUGGCUUGGGUGGUAGAGCAGAUGGUACUAGUUGUAUGAUUGGUGAAGCAUUUGAAGAUGUACUUAAGUGUGUAAUUCAGGCAGACGAAGGCCUCCGUACAAGAUAUUUUCUAUGCCUUGUUACUGAAGCGCUUUAUGGAUCAGGGUUAUUAAAUCAGCUCCUCAAAAUACAGAAGCUUGAUGUCUUUGACAUUGAAGGCGCUAUUCAUGCGUAUUAUGACAUUGUUUCUCAGCCUUGUAAGGUGUGUGAAAAUCUAGGUGAUAAUAAACUAUCAAACAUCUAUACUUAUCUUCAUUCAUUGCCUUUGGAUGAAAGCUUGAAGAUUGUGAGGGACUAUUUGAUAGCUGCAACUGCAAAGGACUUGAGUAUUAUGAUUUGCUUUAGACCCAGGAAAGAUGAGGAUGUGGAAUCUCCAUAUAGUUCUGUAUUCCUCGAAUCAACCAACCAAAGGUUUGAUUAUAAGGCAUCUUUUAUUGACCUGGAUAUGAAGCCACUGAAGAAGAUGGAACGCUAUUAUAAAUUAGACCAGAAGAUAGUCAACUGCUACACUCGCAUGGUGAACAGAGAGCAGGUACAAAAAGUUGUGAGCAUUGACAUGUAUGAAGCUACAUAUUCAGAUGAAUCCAUCAAAACAGAGAAUGGCUCUAAUGCUGAAGAUCCUGAUGGGUUUAGUUCCCAAGAGCCCCUUAAAUGGAGAGUCAGACAACCUAUAAUGGCUUGCAAGCAGGGUGGUGGCCAACAAAUUAAUUUCCUACCUGUAGCCUGUAAUCAUGUAUGAACUGCUAUAGGUUAGUUAAGCUACCAACAUUGGCAGAGCAAUUAACAUGGAAGGGCUCUUGCACUUUGGCUAAGUGAUCAUAAGCAUGGUAAUUAACAUGGAACCGUCCAACUUUGGAACCUGUCCUGCAGCAGCUUAAUUCAAAAGGUCCCAAGCUAUUCAAGAUCCAGUUAGAGAGAGAGAGAGAGAAUCCCAAUGGGCAAUUGGUUAUGAUUUGACACUUCGUUAAUGGGUUUAAUGAGCAAUUAUGAUGGUAGUGAUGUUGUCUUGUCCCUGGGAUAGUGGGAGUGAUGAGGUUGACAAUUGAACUCUCUCUUAUGUGGAUUGAGGCCAUGCUCCUCAAGAGAGGAAUGGGAUCUCAACAGAACCCAUAGCUGUAGCCUCAUACGCUAUGGGUUGACAAUUGGACUCUCUCUUAUCCAGAAACCCUUGCAAGUCUGGGUGGAUACCUAGGUCUUGCCUCAGCCUAGGUUGUCAAGGUACAAGAUUAACUUCUAAAGAACAUUAGCAUGCCAUAUUGGAGAUAGCACAUGCUGAAACCUCACCUCCUGAUGGUGAGACACUCAAGAGAAGAGUUUCUUUAACAGAGCCAAGAAUGUAUGUCGACAGAGAGAAUUAUAGAGAUGCAACUUCCCACUCUUUAACUAAGCUGACGCUUGGAGAAGGCUUGAUCCUUAGAGGGAGAGACCAGAGAUUCAUACGCUUAAUCUUUGGAGGGAGUUAUUGGAGAUUCAUAUAUUGGAUCCCCAAAGAGAUAGUUGGAGAUUCACAUGCCAUCUUGACAGUAUAUAGGGAGACAAAUCCCUAGGAGGAGAGAUUACGAGAACAGAUAGGCAACCCACAUUUUCUAUAAAUGUAGAUGUGGGUGUGAUGCCUCUGCUAUUUAAAUCCAUGGUUACGGGAGCGACUGGCACGGUAUUUGGCCUUCGCCAUCCCAUGUUCAAGUUUAUGUCAUACUUGAGACUGUAUGACUCAGACAGAUCCAACAACUUGUAAUUGGCAUCUCAAUCUCAUUGACAUUUGCUGCAGCAGCCUUUGCCAUCCAUCUACUUUCUUGAAACGAUUAUGUGUUCACUGGCCAUUCAUGCCCAUGCACAUAUUUACUCUUCUGAAUUUUCUUCUUUUGUUGACUGACCUUAUCUUUGGCAAACUGGAGAAGUUUACAGAGGAAUGUGACUUCUGUUUUA